rnacentral:antisense_RNA from 1 species
CUUGAUCGACCCGAGCCACAGCGGCCGGUCGGCGGGGCGGUCCUGCCCGUAGGUGGCCAGCAGCGCCUGGGCCUC